UUCUUUUUUCUUUAGUCCACGGGAGAAAUCAUGUUGCAAGUAGUCAUGUGAUGUUGAUAUUCGUUCGAUAUUUUGAUGAUAUGAAUGUUGUGAUUCCCUUAGUGGUGUUAUCUGAACGUCGACUACAUAACACUUCACCAUCUUUGGGCCUAAGGGAAUGCAUUGUGAAGUAGUAAUUAGAGGGUGGGUUGCGAGAUUGACACAAACUUAAACCCGAGUCUAUGCACUACUCCGUAAGGG
rnacentral:lncRNA from 1 species